rnacentral:rRNA from 1 species
AUGUCUGUGUCAUCGCGCUUCGAGCUCCGGGCCUCGUCGAACCUUCACCAGCAGCCACCGCCUCCCGUCGGCAUGAGCGGCGAUGUGGGGACAUUCGCCGACGCGGGGAACCUCGAGCACUGCGCCAAGUACCUCAAUCAGACGCUCGUUACCUUCGGUUUCCCGGCCUCGCUCGACCUAUUUGCCACCGAUCCGGUAUCUAUUGCAAGAACAUGCAACUGCAUGUAUGCACUGCUGCAGCAGCGCCAGAGAGACAUCGAAUUCCGGGAAUCGACCAAUGAUCUACGACAACGUAUGCAGUCUGAUAUUUCAAGACUGGAAGCCAAGAUCGAAAGGAUGGAUGCCCAAUUGGCAGCAAAAGAUCGAGAGUUGGCCACUUUGACCCGAACGGAGGCCAAAAACACCGCAGCUCUGAAAGCUCAUAUUGAGAAGCUGCAGCAGGAACGUGACGAAUUUCAAAAAAUGGUUAUUGGAAAUCAGCAAGUACGCACCCAACAAAUUCAUGAAACGAAGAAGAAAGAAAAGGAAUACAUCAAAUUGCAGGAGAAGCUAAACCAAGUAUUGAUGGAGAAGAAAAAGGAAUCAUCACGUUCAGGAAUGGAAAUAAUGAACUUGUUGCAGAAAGAGGGACGACAGCGCGGAACAUGGACUGGAAAAAAGAAUGACAAUGACUACUACAAAAUGAUUGUUGAUGCAUAUGAAGUGAAGAAGCAAGAACUAGUCCAGGAGAAUGCUGAUUUGCGGGCACUGUUACGUUCGAUGCAGAUGGAUAUGCGUGAGUUCCUUAAUGCUCCAACUGGAUCAUCACAGCCUGCUGUUGCUGGUAAUGGAAGACAGGAGGCAGGGUCUCCCCAGUCCCCACUUGGGGGCAAGACGGAUGUCUUUGACUUGCCCUUUCACAUGGCCAGAGACCAGAUAGAGGAGAGUUUGCGCACUAAAAUGGCUUCAGUAAAGGCACGAAUGACGCAACUUCAAGAUGCUCAAAAAGGUGCUGAAGUGACCUCGGAAGUUACCGAGCGUGAACUUGAGCUUGAAGCUCAGUUAGUUGAAGCCAGAAGCAUCAUCCAAGAGCAGGCGUCCAUCAUGUCUAAGCACUUCUCCAAGUCUGAUAAACCAAGGAGGUUAAGUGGCCUGGAUGCCGAGCGUGAGGCGAUUCAUUCUGCUUCUACAGAUGUGUAA